rnacentral:rRNA from 1 species
CUGUGAGGGGAGUGAAAUAGAACCUGAAACCGUGUACGUACAAGCAGUGGGAGCCCUUCGGGGUGACUGCGUACCUUUUGUAUAAUGGGUCAGCGACUUACAUUUUGUAGCGAGGUUAACCGUAUAGGGGAGCCGUAGGGAAACCGAGUCUUAACUGGGCGUCUAGUUGCAAGGUGUAGACCCGAAACCGGGUGAUCUAGCCAUGGGCAGGUUGAAGGUUGAGUAACAUCAACUGGAGGACCGAACCCACUAACGUUGCAAAGUUAGGGGAUGACCUGUGGCUGGGGGUGAAAGGCCAAUCAAACUCGGAGAUAGCUGGUUCUCCCCGAAAGCUAUUUAGGUAGCGCCUCGGACGAAUACUACUGGGGGUAGAGCACUGUUUGGGCUAGGGGGUCAUCCCGACUUACCAACCCCAUGCAAACUCCGAAUACCAGUAAGUACUAUCCGGGAGACACACGGCGGGUGCUAACGUCCGUCGUGAAGAGGGAAACAACCCAGACCGCCGGCUAAGGUCCCAAAGUUCUGGUUAAGUGGGAAACGAUGUGGGAAGGCUCAGACAGCUAGGAUGUUGGCUUAGAAGCAGCCAUCAUUUAAAGAAAGCGUAAUAGCUCACUAGUCGAGUCGGCCUGCGCGGAAGAUGUAACGGGGCUCAAACCAGGCACCGAAGCCGCGGAUUCACGCUAAGCGUGAGUGGUAGGGGAGCGUUCUGUAAGUCUGCGAAGGUGUGUCGAGAGGCAUGCUGGAGAUAUCAGAAGUGCGAAUGCUGACGUAAGUAACGAUAAAGGGGGUGAAAAGCCUCCUCGCCGGAAGACCAAGGGUUCCUGUCCAACGUUAAUCGGGGCAGGGUGAGUCGACCCCUAAGGCGAGGCCGAAAGGCGUAGUCGAUGGGAAGCAGGUUAAUAUUCCUGCACGACUUGUAAUUGCGAUGGGGGGACGGAGAAGGCUAGGUGGGCCAGGCGACGGUUGUCCUGGUGAAAGUGCGUAGGUGGUGUUUCUAGGCAAAUCCGGAGACACAACACUGAGACACGAGACGAACGCACCACGGUGCGGAAGCCAUUGAUGCCCUGCUUCCAGGAAAAGCCUCUAAGCUUCAGAUUACAAGUCAUCGUACCCCAAACCGACACAGGUGGUCGGGUAGAGAAUACCAAGGCGCUUGAGAGAACUCGGGUGAAGGAACUAGGCAAAAUAGAACCGUAACUUCGGGAGAAGGUUCGCUCUUGAUGGUGAAGUCCCUUGCGGAUGGAGCUGUCGGGAGUCGCAGUGACCAGAUGGCUGGGACUGUUUAUCAAAAACACAGCACUCUGCAAACACGAAAGUGGACGUAUAGGGUGUGACACCUGCCCGGUGCCGGAAGGUUAAUUGAUGGGGUUAGCGCAAGCGAAGCUCUUGAUCGAAGCCCCGGUAAACGGCGGCCGUAACUAUAACGGUCCUAAGGUAGCGAAAUUCCUUGUCGGGUAAGUUCCGACCUGCACGAAUGGUGUAACCAUGGCCACGCUGUCUCCACCCGAGACUCAGUGAAAUCGAAUUCGCCGUGAAGAUGCGGUGUACCCGCGGCUAGACGGAAAGACCCCGUGAACCUUUACUACAGCUUGGCACUGAACAUUGAACCUACAUGUGUAGGAUAGGUGGGAGGCUUUGAAGGCGUGACGCCAGUUGCGCUGGAGCCGUCCUUGAAAUACCACCCUUGUAUGUUUGAUGUUCUAACGCAGGGCCCUGAAUCGGGCUCGCGGACAGUGCCUGGUGGGUAGUUUGACUGGGGCGGUCUCCUCCCAAAGAGUAACGGAGGAGCACGAAGGUUGGCUAAUCCUGGUCGGACAUCAGGAGGUUAGUGCAAUGGCAUAAGCCAGCUUAACUGCGAGACGGACAGGUCGAGCAGGUACGAAAGUAGGUCAUAGUGAUC